CAUCAUGAAUGUAAGUUUAUUACAAACACUUGCAACAUCUGGUGAAAAUGUUGUAGUUUUGGGACACCAUGGACAAUAUUUUAAAACUACGAAUAUUUAUGUGGGCUGCUUGGAUUGUUCUCAUCACUAUAAUGUUUUGCAGGAGUGGCCAACAACUCAUCGAUGCGACGAGCGAUAUUUUUUUUACUUUGGGUGGAGCUCCUUGGUACUACUGGAAUUUAGACAACAUUAAAAUUCUUCUCACAUUUAUGGCAAAUAGCACUAAAAAUGAUAGUAUUUCUCUGGCUGGGAUUUGUCUAGAUUACCCAUUGUUUGUUUCGGUCGCAAACACCACCGUCUCAUAUGCUCUCGUUCUGUACAAUCUUCGCGAAAGUAGUCUUGAUUCAAGCAACAAAAAGUAACACUUUCAGCUACAGUUUUACGCACUGACGGAAUAUUAUUAGUAUUAUUACACAUAACAGGCACUUAAAAGGCACUUAUCAGAUUAUUGUUCAAAGAAUUCCGCAUCGAUAGUGCAAAAAUAGAAAAGAUUGACCGUCUAGUUUUGGAGAUAUUAAAUUUUACAAAUUGAAUUUUUGAAUCUCUUUUACAUUGCGGCAUA